AUCCAGCUGACGAGUCCCAAAUGAGACGAAACGCGCAUCCUGGAU
rfam:Schistosoma rodhaini strain Burundi genome assembly, scaffold: SROB_scaffold0008773